ensembl:lncRNA uncharacterized LOC106098100
UGCAGUGUCAGUUGGAGCAGAGAGGAUCGAUGUGUGGCUUUAUGUUUUGGGAUUGCUGAGUUUUUUUUGAUUCUUUAUGUGCUUUGCUUUAGACUUGUUUCCCUUAGUUUUCUUUUAUUGCUAAACAUUUAAAGUGAAUCAGUGUUUUUGGAAAAGGAGUUACACAAGUAUUCAGGUCCAGUCUCACCUUCUCAGCAGCUUUUCAUUUGUUCCUGAAGUUGCUAAAAUUUGCCAACAAAAAUUCAUCUACAGAAGAAUCUCUACAUGGAGCAUGGCGUCAAGGAUGGAGAGGUUUAAAGUUAACAAAUAUGGAUCCAGACACGGAGCACCUCACAAGGAAGGCACACACCCUCAUCAAGAGCUGCUCUAUGGCCACAGAAUCUGGUCAGGAGAAGAGAUUUUCCAGGGCCUACUCCCCUGGGUUCAGGAGGUCUGUGAAGCUGCAAAAAUGACACUGGAAGACUUGGAUGACUUUCAUCAAUCUGAAUCUCUCUGAAUCUGAACAGGUGAAGACUUGUUUUCAGAACUGAAGGAGGAAGUUUAGGAAAACCAGCACAUGAUGUAGAGAAAUUUCAGCACUAUGGCUCGACAGGAGCAGGUCCUGCCUUACCUGAACACCUUUGUCAGUGAUGGAGCUUCCUGUUUGUAUCCAAACACUGUGGGUCAGUUAAAGAGGGUGGGGGAGUACAGAAAGGCCACCUCCUCCCUUGUGUUGGUGUAGCUGAAGUCGUAGACGUCCAAUAUUGCACAGUACUGUCGAUAUUUUCUCUUCUUGCCUUUGGUGCUGUUUAUCCAUCUAGAUUAUUUUGGUAUGGGCAACCCACUUUUGUAGUUUUCUCUGAGCUCUGUGUCUCUGAAAAGUAAUGUUUCCAUUCUAAAGAAAUCCAGACUGUGUUACAGAUCUACUGACCUUGUAGGAAUUCUUUUCUUUCCACUGAACUACAUCUGCUAACCAUAUCAGUGUCCUGGAGGAAGCACGUAAAGGCUUUGAACAAGAAGCUGGACUUCAUGACAGACUUCAUGCUUCUUUGUAGUUGGCAGGUGUGGACACUGCACCAGAUUUCUGAGUUUUAACAAAGUCAAUAUUUAUAGCAGAAAAGAUGCAGAUCUAGAUCAAUUUGCUUAAAAUAUUUAUUAAAAACCCUGGACUAACCUCCAGCCUUAAAACAUGUUUUAAGCAUAAAAAUAUUAACAGGUGUAAUUAAGACAUGUGUGCACAAAGUCUUUUAAAUACAGCUUCUGUCAUGUCAAGAAACACGAACAGAAUACUUAAAAUGGCCGUCAGAAAAAAUUCACAGCAAACCUGAUAUGCUGCCAGUGCCAGCUAGAUUUCAUGUUGGAAAAACAUAGAUGAUGUGGAAGUGCUUUAAAUUUGUCUGAAAACCACCAGCAUGUGGUUUCAAAAUCAGACCUCCACGCAUCCUAUUUCUGCCAUGUUGUUUUUGAGACCAGUAUGGCAAAAAUCCUCAUCCUGAGGCUUCAGAAUGAUAAUUCACAAAUAAAAGAGGGCUGUAACAGUAGCUACAGCCAUCUUUAUGCUGUCUAGGCUAAAACCUGAUGCUAUCAGCUCAAUCAUCAUUAUUAGCAUCAUUUAGAACAUCUGGUAACAAAGGAGCAUUAGCUGUUAGCAAGGCUCUCCACUUGCUCCUUCAAAACUUGUUUUGUGAAGCCCGGAGUUGUUUGCAUUCAUACCAGUGUUUAAAACAACAGGGUUGAAAUCAUCAUGUCUAUUGGCAUCGACCAGCCAAACAUCUAAGGCAAGUUGUGGAAGCUCCAUUGAGGUCCAGGCACAACGUUGCCCACAAAAUUCAUUCAGUUCAUGUUCUAGUAACCUUGAGAAACACUCACCUGUUUGUAGGUCAGUCCUGUCAACUCUGCCAACUCUGUCAUCUCCCGUGGGUCAGGGUAAUGUUUCUGAUUAAAGUGAUUGACAAGAGUUUUUAACUGGCUGAGAACAGCCCCCGGGUCCUUCCUUUGAGCACCUUGGCCUUUUCUUCCUUCUCACAUGUAGUGCUUGUGACAGUGUUGCUGCCACCCUGGUUUCUUGGGGCAGCAAAACCCUGUUCCUCCUGUGUGACAGAGCUGGAAACAGCUUCAGCAGUCUCAAAGAUGAUGUUGCUCGUCUCCUUUUCAAGAGCACUCUCCACCCAUGCAGUAUGCAGUGAGGUCUGCCAUGGGGAAACUCCCUUCAAGGCUGCUGCCAGAACUCCACAAGUCUAUAUGGUCCACAUGGCUCAGCUCAUCUGUUGCCAUGAGUCACUUUAGAAAGUCACUCCCCCUUCAUUGAUCCAUCAUUUAGAAAACUGAAAAAAGCACUUAGAAAGUCAUCAAGUAAAUGAGCUCUACUAAACGUUUCCAGCUUACUUUGCUAAAUGUUCAUCCCUGGAAUUCUGCAAUUUAUCACUUUCUUUUCUGAUGUCUCAAGAAAAAGUGUAAUCUCACAGAUAAUGACCUGUUUGUAGUAUUGGGUGGCAGGUUUUCCAUUUCUUUAUACCAGUGAUAUCAAACUGAGAGCUGCAAGAGGUCAUUUAUACAUUUGUAAUCAGCUGUGUAAGAUGGUAGACUGGUAUCACCUGCAUAUUAACUCACCUCCACAUUUACUGUGGGAAAUGGCCACUAAUGUGUGAGUGGGUUUGUUUCACAACUGCUGUGAGCCAGUGGCUGUGAUUGGGCUGGGUUCAUUGAAGGCAGGUGUAUUUGAUUGCACUUGAUUUCUGAAGUGUUGAAGCUUGUAUUGGCCAAAAGUAUGAAGAGCAGCUUGAAUCUACAACUUGAAAUGAACUGCUUCAUUAUCAUUGCCCAGUCACAGCUUCUGUUUAAUAUCAUGUGAUAAUUCUGUCUGAUAUCAGGCUAACGUUGUGGUGCUUUGAACCUGUAUUUUCUGUGUGACACAAUGUUAUGUCUGUUUCAUGAAUAAAUUUGAUGAAUAAACUUGUUUAAACAUGAGCCAUGGUGUGGUCUCCCUUCACUUGUGACUUCUUGACAUUUGUAAACAUAAUAGACCAAAAAAAUACAUUGUGUCAUACACUAUUAUAUAUAAUCCUAUUAUAGGGUUGGGAGUAUUCUACCGCCGUGAGGCCUCUUCCUUAUGUAUAUU